GAGUUGCUAGCUCAGCCUGGUUAGAGCGACGGACUCUUAAUCCGUAGGCCGCGGGUUCGAAUCCCGUGCGACUCG
rnacentral:tRNA from 1 species